GGGCUGGUAGAUCAGUCUGGUAUGAUCGCUGCCUUGGCAGGGCAGAAGCCGGGGGUUCAAAUCCCUCCCAGUCCA
rnacentral:tRNA from 1 species